rnacentral:rRNA from 1 species
AUUGAACGCUGGCGGCAGGCUUAAUACAUGCAAGUCGAGCGGGGAAAGGUAGCUUGCUACCUGACCUAGCGGCGGACGGGUGAGUAAUGCUUAGGAAUCUGCCUAUUAGUGGGGGACAACAUUCCGAAAGGAAUGCUAAUACCGCAUACGCCCUACGGGGGAAAGCAGGGGAUCUUCGGACCUUGCGCUAAUAGAUGAGCCUAAGUCAGAUUAGCUAGUUGGUGGGGUAAAGGCCGACCAAGGCGACGAUCUGUAGCGGGGCUGAGAGGAUGAGCCGCCACACUGGGACUGAGACACGGCCCAGACUCCUACGGGAGGCAGCAGUGGGGAAUAUUGGACAAUGGGCGCAAGCCUGAUCCAGCCAUGCCGCGUGUGUGAAGAAGGCCUUUUGGUUGUAAAGCACUUUAAGUGGGGAGGAGGCUUACCUGGUUAAUACCUGGGCUAAGUGGACGUUACCCACAGAAUAAGCACCGGCUAACUCUGUGCCAGCCGCCGCCGUAA